UGCCAGCAGCCGCGGUAAUACGUAAGUCCCAAGCGUUACCCGGAAUCACUGGGUGUAAAGGGUUCGUAGGCGGAACAAUAAGUUGGAUAUGAAAGACCGAAGCUCAACUUCGUGUUUGUAUUCAAAACUGUUAUUCUAGAAUUAGGGAGAGGUAAGCGGAAUUCUGAGUGUAGGGGUGCAAUCCGUAGAUACUCAGAGGAACACCAAAAGCGAAGGCAGCUUACUGGAACUAUAUUGACGCUGAGGAACGAAAGCGUGGGUAGCGAAAAGGAUUAGAUA
rnacentral:rRNA from 1 species